rnacentral:rRNA from 1 species
GCAUGACCACAUCAGCCUCAAUGUGCACGAUCCUGUCAGAUCUCAGAAGCUAUGCAGCCUGGUUAGUACUUGGAUGGGAGACUGCCUGCGAACACCAGGUGUUACAUACA